CAGAAUUCUGUAUUCCCUCGAACAUCUUCUUUCAGAAAAUAUAUAAGUGUUUGGGGGUCUAAAGCGAUUUUCUAGCCAAGAAUUCUGAUUUUAUCAU